rnacentral:lncRNA from 1 species
GCACAUUUCAUUCUCAGUACCAGAUGUCUGAAAAGUACAAAGCGCUUUUCGUUCUCGGUACCAAAUGUGUCAAAAGUACUAAGCACUUUUUCUUAGCAGUACCAGAUGACUGAAAAGCACCAAGUACAUUUCGUUCUCAGUACCACAUGUCUGAAAAGUACAAAGAAGUACAUUUCGUUCUCGGUACCUGAAAGUACAAAGUACAUUUUGCUUUCAGUACAAGACGUCUGAAAAGUACCACUUUUUGUUUGUUUACAGUACAAGAUGUCUCAAAAGUUACUUUCCCACUCCACCAAUGACGAAUGCAGAAAAUAUUGAUCGCCUUCCACCCACAGUUCCACAGGGACCGCCGGUUCAUUCAUACCAUCAGGGUCGGGCGAUUUAUCAGGUAAUAAUAUUAAGAAAACUAUGAAUUUUUCGAAAGUCAAAAUUUCUUGUCGAAAUCUAUUGAAAUAGAUUGUGGCAGUGAUGAUAUCAUUGUUUUUUAUUUAUUUUUUGAUAAAUAAAACAACAACAAGAAACAGGCCUCAUUAUUCAAAAUUUCUUGUCGAAAUCUAUUGAAAUAGAUUGUGUGUGGCAGUGAUGAUGUCAUUGUUUCUUAUUUAUUUAUUAAAAAUAAAUAAAUAUUAUUAUACUCUUUAUUUAUAUGAUAAAAAAAAGAACAACAAGAAUCAGACCUAAUUAUUCUAUUAGAACAGAACAGUUUUACUUUGUGUUCUUUAGUUUUAAUUAUGGUUGUUUGACCAACUUAUUAGCGAGGUGUUUUGUUUUGAUUCCAAAUUACUUCAUUACUGUCAUCGUCUAUUUCAUUUGCUAUUUUUUUUUUAUGUACAAGAAAACCCUAUUCUAACACAAGAGGAGCAUCGUCGACUCUAUUUUACAAUCAAGUAACUUUUAAGUCCAACUUGUACUUUUGCAACCAUACUAUUAGAGGCACUUAUUUACCCUACUGUCAACUUAUUUACCUACUGAUUUUAUUGUUAUAUGAGACCAGGCUCUUCCAGGAUCGAAUUUAUAAAAACCUUUAUUCUCCUACUGUACUGACAUCAAAUACGACGUGUUGGUUUAUUUAUUUAUGUUUAUAACUAUGAACUUGUUGAAAUUUCAAAAAGUCAUCAUAAUCCUAAGCUUUUUAUAAACUCGAUCCAAAGAGAGGCAACCUUAUAAAUAUAAUCAACAUUUAACAUACAACUUUGCCUGAAAACUGAUGGUACUCAUUGAAGUUGAGAAAACAAACCAAAAAGAG